rnacentral:rRNA from 1 species
CGGACGGGUGAGUAACACGUGGAUAACCUACCUAUAAGACUGGGAUAACUUCGGGAAACCGGAGCUAAUACCGGAUAAUAUAUUGAACCGCAUGGUUCAAUAGUGAAAGACGGUUUUGCUGUCACUUAUAGAUGGAUCCGCGCCGCAUUAGCUAGUUGGUAAGGUAACGGCUUACAAAGGCAACGAUGCGUAGCCGACCUGAGAGGGUGAUCGGCUACACUGGAACUGAGACACGGUCCAG